UACGUAGGGUGCGAGCGUUGUCCGGAAUUAUUGGGCGUAAAGAGCUUGUAGGCGGUUUGUCGCGUCUGCCGUGAAAAUCCGAGGCUCAACCUCGGACUUGCGGUGGGUACGGGCAGACUAGAGUGUGGUAGGGGAGACUGGAAUUCCUGGUGUAGCGGUGAAAUGCGCAGAUAUCAGGAGGAACACCGAUGGCGAAGGCGGAUCUCUGGGCCGAUACUGACGCUGAGGAGCGAAAGCGUGGGGAGCGAACAGG
rnacentral:rRNA from 1 species